CCUACGGGAGGCAGCAGUGGGGAAUAUUGGGCAAUGGGCGCAAGCCUGACCCAGCAACGCCGCGUGAAGGAAGAAGGCUUUCGGGUCGUAAACUUCUUUCCUCAGGGACGAAGCUAGUGACGGUACCUGAGGAAUACCCCACGGCUAACUACGUGCCAGCAGCCGCGGUAAUUCGUAGGUGGCAAGCGUUAGCCGGUUUUACGGGGUGUAAAGGGCGAGAAGGCGGGGCUGCAAGUCAGAUGUGAACACCAUGGGCUCAACCUAUGGCCUGCAUUUGAAACUGUAGUGCUUGAGUGCUGGAGGGGCAGACGGAAUUCCUGGUGUAGCGGUGAAAUGCGUAGAUAUUAGGAGGAACACCAGUGGCGAAGGCGGUCUGCUGGACAGCAACUGACGUUGAGGCGCGAAAGCGUGGGGAGCAAACAGGAUUAGAUACCCGGGUAGUC
rnacentral:rRNA from 1 species